GUCUCUGCCUCUUCUCUCCAGUACAGGGAUUAAUGAGAAGACAAAAACCUAAUGUCGGUGACUCUACGAAAAAAAACUUGUCACUCCGAAGCUUUGGCACUGUCCUCUCUACAGGAGAAAACAGAAUAAGGACCACAGAUGAAGAAUGUGAAAAAGAGAUGCCCAAAGAAGAUGUUGAGAGCAACAGCAUCAGGGGUUUGAAUUUUCAACUUAGACAAGGAAAUGACCAACACCUUAAGACGGAAAUCCAGUGACAAGUUUUGGUCUUCUCGAUUCAAAAUUAGCGAGCUGGAAAGCGAAAGUUCUCUCUGAAGCGGGGAGAGCCACCUUGUUCAAGCGAGGAGUGAAUCUGGAUAUUUUUUAGUCUUUUUUUUUCUUAUGUUUUGUUCAUAAUCUAGUAUUGUUUGUGUAAUUUUUGUUUAUUAAAAUUUAUGCCUAAACUCAGAUUUAAUAUUCUGUUUAAAAUUUUGUAUUGUUGUUAUUGAAUCAUUGAUCUGAUUUGGGCUAUUAA